ensembl:snoRNA
UGGACCAGUGAUGACAGUGUGUGACGUCUGAGUCAUGGACAAUGAACAGUAUGUGUCUGGAAGUCUGAGGUCCAA